UACGGAAGGCAGCAGUGGGGAAUAUUGCACAAUGGGCGAAAGCCUGAUGCAGCUAUGCCGCGUGUAUGAAGAAGGCCUUAGGGUUGUAAAGUACUUUCAUCGGGGAGGAAAAACAAAACUAAUAAUUUUAUUUCUUGACGUUACCCGAAAAAGAAGCACCGGCCAACUCCGUGCCAGCAGCCGCGGUAAUACGGAGGGUGCUAGCGUUAAUCAGAAUUACUGGGCGUAAAGAGCACGUAGGUGGUUUUUUUAAAGUCAGAUGUGAAAUCCCUGGGCUUAACCUAGGAACUGCAUUUUGAAACUGAAAUACUAGAGUAUCGUAGAGGGAGGUAGAAUUCUAGGUGUAGCGGUGAAAUGCGUAGAUAUCUGGAGGAAUACCUGUGGCGAAAGCGGCCUCCUAAACGAAUACUGACACUGAGGUGCGAAAGCGUGGGGAGCAAACAGGGAUUAGAUACC
rnacentral:rRNA from 1 species